rnacentral:rRNA from 1 species
AGUUCGGAUUGCAGGCUGCAACCCGCCUGUAUGAAGUUGGAAUCGCUAGUAAUCGCGGAUCAGCAUGCCGCGGUGAAUACGUUCCCGGGCCUUGUACACACCGCCCGUCACACCAUGAGAGUCGGGAACACCCGAAGUCCGUAGUCUAACUUUCACGAGAGGACGCGGCCGAAGGUGGGUUCGAUAAUUGGGGUGAAGUCGUAACAAGGUACC